rnacentral:rRNA from 1 species
AUUGAACGCUGGCGGCAGGCUUAACACAUGCAAGUCGAGCGGGGUGAUGGUGCUUGCACUAUCCCUUAGCGGCGGACGGGUGAGUAAUGCUUAGGAAUCUGCCUAUUAGUGGGGGACAACAUCCCGAAAGGGAUGCUAAUACCGCAUACGUCCUACGGGAGAAAGCAGGGGAUCACUUGUGACCUUGCCCUAAUAGAUGAGCCUAGGUCGGAUUAGCUAGUCGGGGGGGUAAAGGCCUACCAAGGCGACGAUCUGUAGCGGGUCUGAGAGGAUGAUCCGCCACACUGGGACUGAGACACGGCCCAGACUCCUACGGGAGGCAGCAGUGGGGAAUAUUGGACAAUGGGGGGAACCCUGAUCCAGCCGUGCCGCGUGUGUGAAGAAGGCCUUAUGGUUGUAAAGCACUUUAAGCGAGGAGGAGGCUCUUUUGGUUAAUACCCAAGAUGAGUGGACGUUACUCGCAGAAUAAGCACCGGCUAACUCUGUGCCAGCCGCCGCCGUAA